rnacentral:rRNA from 1 species
AAACAUCGCCUCCUGCAAUAUCAACGUAUAGGAGGUCUUGCCUGCCCAGUGAUACAUUAAACGGCCGCGGUAUUUUGACCGUGCGAAGGUAGCGCAAUCACUUGUCUUUUAAAUGAAGACCUGUAUGAAUGGUGGAACGAGGGCUUAGCUGUCUCCCUUUUUAAGUUAAUGAAAUUGAUCUGUCCGUGCAGAAGCGGGCAUAACCACACAAGACGAGAAGACCCUUUGGAGCUUAAGACAUAGGGCCAAAUAUGUAAAGAAUUUACAUAUAAUAAAUUAAACCAAGUAAUUACUGGCCCAUAUCUUCGGUUGGGGCGACCACGGGAUAAAACAAAACUCCCACGCGGACUGGGGCAACCCCCUACAGCCAAGAAAGACAUUUCUAAGCAGCAGAACAUCUGACCCUACAGAUCCGGCUUUGCCGAUCAACGGACCAAGUUACCCAAGGGAUAACAGCGCAAUCCUCUUCAAGAGCCCAUAUCGACAAGGGGGUUUACGACCUCGAUGUUGGAUCAGGACAUCCUAAUGGUGCAGCCGCUAUUAAGGGUUCGUUUGUUCAACGAUUAAAGUCCUACGUGAU